rnacentral:lncRNA from 1 species
GGGAAAGAGAGAGGUAAAUAGAAAGGGAAAGAAAGAGAGAGAGAAGAGAGAGAAGGGAAAGAGAGAGGUAAACAGAAAGGGAAAAAAGAGAGAGAAGAGAGAGAGAGAGAAGAGAGGGGAAAGAGAGAGGUAAAUAGAAAGGUGAAGAAAGAGAGAGAGAGAGAGAGAGAGAGAGGGGAAAGAGAGAGGUAAAUGGAAAGGGGAAGAAAGAGAGAGCGAGAGAAGAGAGAGAGGGGAAAGAGAGAGGUAAAUAGAAAGGGGAAGAAAGAGAGAGAGAGAGAGAGAGAGGGGAAAGAGAGAGGUAAAUAGAAAAGGGAAGAAAGAGAGAGAGAGAGAAUGAGGGGAAAGCUAAAAUAGCUAAAACAGAUUCGGAGAAGAAGUUUUACGUGCCCCCAACCAAUUGUAUUUUUUGUUCUUUUAUGUGUGUUUUUUGUAACUUAUUUUGUACAUAAUGUUGCCACUACCAUCACUUAGGAUCAAAAAUAACUUCUGGACAUCAGGACUGCUAUUACUCACCACGGACUGGAUGAAUAAUUUUUUUCCUUUAACGAGUCUGACGAGCGCGACAAACAAUAUAGUGCUUUCCCGGGAACAGGCCCAGAUCCCCGUGAUGUGCGUGAAGACGAGGCGUAGAAAAAGGGGCCUGAGGGCGGGCUGCCUUCUGAGAACUUGUAGGCGAUCGAAUAAACCCCCACUUCCUUCCAUUCUGCUAGCAAACGUGAAAUCUUUGGACAAUAAAAUAGAUGACCUACGCAGAAGAUUAAUCUACCAACGGGACAUUCAAAACUGUAAUAUCUUAUGCUUCACGGAGUCGUGGCUGAACGACGACACUAUCAACAUAUAGCUGGCUGGUUAUACACUGCACUGGCAGGAUAGAACAAUGGCGUCUGCACAGACUGGAAAAUGUUCCGGGGUUCCUCCGAUGGUAUUGAGGAGUACACCACAUCAGUCAUUGGCUUCAUCAAUAAGUGCAUCGAUGAAAGUCAUCCCCACAGAGACCGUACGUACAUAUCCCAACCAGAUGUCAUGGGUUACAGGCAACAUCCGCACUGAGCUAAAGGUUAGAGCUGCCGCUUUCAAGGAGCGGAACUCUAACCCGGAAGCUUAUAAGAAAUCCCUCUAUGCCCUCUGACGAACCGUCAAACAGGCAAAGCGCCAAUACAGGACUAAGAUCGAAUCGUACUACAACGGCUCUGAGUCUUGUCGGAUGUGGAAUGGCUUGCAAACCAUUACAGACUACAAAG